GAUCCUGGCUCAGGAUGAACGCUAGCUACAGGCUUAACACAUGCAAGUCGCGGGGCAGCAUGAAGGAUGCUUGCAUCCUUUGAUGGCGACCGGCGCACGGGUGAGUAACGCGUAUCCAACCUGCCUGUUACCACGGCACAGCCCGUCGAAAGGCGGAUUAAUGCCGUAUGUGGUCUUGAAAGGGCAUCUGAUCAUGACUAAAGGUUCAGCGGUAACGGGAUGGGGAGUGCG
rnacentral:rRNA from 1 species